rnacentral:rRNA from 1 species
ACUAAGCGUACACGGUGGAUGCCCUGGCAGUCAGAGGCGAUGAAGGACGUGCUAAUCUGCGAAAAGCGUCGGUAAGGUGAUAUGAACCGUUAUAACCGGCGAUGUCCGAAUGGGGAAACCCAGUGCAAUUCGUUGCACUAUCGUUAACUGAAUACAUAGGUUAACGAGGCGAACCGGGGGAACUGAAACAUCUAAGUACCCCGAGGAAAAGAAAUCAACCGAGAUUCCCCCAGUAGCGGCGAGCGAACGGGGAGCAGCCCAGAGUCUGAAUCAGCUUGUGUGUUAGUGGAACGGUCUGGAAAGUCCGACGGUACAGGGUGAUAGUCCCGUACACCAAAAUGCACAGGUUGUGAACUCGAAGAGUAGGGCGGGACACGUGGUAUCCUGUCUGAAUAUGGGGGGACCAUCCUCCAAGGCUAAAUACUCCUGACUGACCGAUAGUGAACCAGUACCGUGAGGGAAAGGCGAAAAGAACCCCGGCGAGGGGAGUGAAAAAGAACCUGAAACCGUGUACGUACAAGCAGUGGGAGCACCUUCGGGUGUGACUGCGUACCUUUUGUAUAAUGGGUCAGCGACUUAUAUUCUGUAGCAAGGUUAACCGUAUAGGGGAGCCGCAGGGAAACCGAGUCUUAACUGGGCGUUAAGUUGCAGGGUAUAGACCCGAAACCCGGUGAUCUAGCCAUGGGCAGGUUGAAGGUUGGGUAACACUAACUGGAGGACCGAACCGACUAAUGUUGAAAAAUUAGCGGAUGACUUGUGGCUGGGGGUGAAAGGCCAAUCAAACCGGGAGAUAGCUGGUUCUCCCCGAAAGCUAUUUAGGUAGCGCCUCGUGAACUCAUCUUCGGGGGUAGAGCACUGUUUCGGCUAGGGGGUCAUCCCGACUUACCAACCCGAUGCAAACUACGAAUACCGAAGAAUGUUAUCACGGGAGACACACGGCGGGUGCUAACGUCCGUCGUGAAGAGGGAAACAACCCAGACCGCCAGCUAAGGUCCCAAAGUCAUGGUUAAGUGGGAAACGAUGUGGGAAGGCACAGACAGCCAGGAUGUUGGCUUAGAAGCAGCCAUCAUUUAAAGAAAGCGUAAUAGCUCACUGGUCGAGUCGGCCUGCGCGGAAGAUGUAACGGGGCUAAACCAUGCACCGAAGCUGCGGCAGCGACACUAUGUGUUGUUGGGUAGGGGAGCGUUCUGUAAGCCUGCGAAGGUGUGCUGUGAGGCAUGCUGGAGGUAUCAGAAGUGCGAAUGCUGACAUAAGUAACGAUAAAGCGGGUGAAAAGCCCGCUCGCCGGAAGACCAAGGGUUCCUGUCCAACGUUAAUCGGGGCAGGGUGAGUCGACCCCUAAGGCGAGGCCGAAAGGCGUAGUCGAUGGGAAACAGGUUAAUAUUCCUGUACUUGGUGUUACUGCGAAGGGGGGACGGAGAAGGCUAUGUUAGCCGGGCGACGGUUGUCCCGGUUUAAGCAUGUAGGCUGGUUAUCCAGGCAAAUCCGGAUAAUCAAGGCUGAGGUGUGAUGACGAGGCACUACGGUGCUGAAGUAACAAAUGCCCUGCUUCCAGGAAAAGCCUCUAAGCAUCAGGUAACAUCAAAUCGUACCCCAAACCGACACAGGUGGUCAGGUAGAGAAUACCAAGGCGCUUGAGAGAACUCGGGUGAAGGAACUAGGCAAAAUGGUGCCGUAACUUCGGGAGAAGGCACGCUGGUGUGUAGGUGAAGUCCCUGCGGAUGGAGCUGAGACCAGUCGAAGAUACCAGCUGGCUGCAACUGUUUAUUAAAAACACAGCACUGUGCAAACACGAAAGUGGACGUAUACGGUGUGACGCCUGCCCGGUGCCGGAAGGUUAAUUGAUGGGGUUAUCCGUAAGGAGAAGCUCUUGAUCGAAGCCCCGGUAAACGGCGGCCGUAACUAUAACGGUCCUAAGGUAGCGAAAUUCCUUGUCGGGUAAGUUCCGACCUGCACGAAUGGCGUAAUGAUGGCCAGGCUGUCUCCACCCGAGACUCAGUGAAAUUGAACUCGCUGUGAAGAUGCAGUGUACCCGCGGCAAGACGGAAAGACCCCGUGAACCUUUACUAUAGCUUGACACUGAACAUUGAGCCUUGAUGUGUAGGAUAGGUGGGAGGCUUUGAAGCGUGGACGCCAGUCUGCGUGGAGCCAACCUUGAAAUACCACCCUUUAAUGUUUGAUGUUCUAACGUUGGCCCCUGACCGGGGUUGCGGACAGUGUCUGGUGGGUAGUUUGACUGGGGCGGUCUCCUCCCAAAGCGUAACGGAGGAGCACGAAGGUUAGCUAAUCCUGGUCGGACAUCAGGAGGUUAGUGCAAUGGCAUAAGCUAGCUUGACUGCGAGCGUGACGGCGCGAGCAGGUGCGAAAGCAGGUCAUAGUGAUCCGGUGGUUCUGAAUGGAAGGGCCAUCGCUCAACGGAUAAAAGGUACUCCGGGGAUAACAGGCUGAUACCGCCCAAGAGUUCAUAUCGACGGCGGUGUUUGGCACCUCGAUGUCGGCUCAUCACAUCCUGGGGCUGAAGUAGGUCCCAAGGGUAUGGCUGUUCGCCAUUUAAAGUGGUACGCGAGCUGGGUUUAGAACGUCGUGAGACAGUUCGGUCCCUAUCUGCCGUGGGCGCUGGAGAAUUGAGGGGGGCUGCUCCUAGUACGAGAGGACCGGAGUGGACGCAUCACUGGUGUUCGGGUUGUCAUGCCAAUGGCACUGCCCGGUAGCUAAAUGCGGAAGAGAUAAGUGCUGAAAGCAUCUAAGCACGAAACUUGCCCCGAGAUGAGUUCUCCCUGAGACUUUAAGUCUCCUGAAGGAACGUUGAAGACGACGACGUUGAUAGGCCGGGUGUGUAAGCGCAGCGAUGCGUUGAGCUAACCGGUACUAAUGAACCGUGAGGCUUAACC